UCUUAGUGGAAUGGAGGUCCAGAAGGAGAACUAAGAAUCACAGUCUCCUUAUUCCCCACUUCGUUAGCUCCUGCCACCUGCUCUCCUCAAAAGGCUGAUGCAACAGGCAAGAGAGGUUGGGGAGGGGACUCCCAGGGGCUGUCGGCUGCCAAAGCAACUGGAGCCGGUAUCAGCUUAGGCCUUCUGGGACCAAACAGGCACCACCUGCUUUCACUGAAGCUCAGUUUACCUGUAAAAUAAGUUGGACAAGGUUAGGGCAGCGGUGCUUCCAAGCCUGCACAGACCCAUCAGUCACUAUCUAGUCAGGUGGUUAUAUCAUUCUAUUUGGAAAAUCCACAAACUAUUUCCCUCGUCUCUGAAUGCUCCAUUCAAAGGGCCGAAACGUGAGCCUUGCUUUUUCUGUCCCCUUCACCACAACGUUGACAUCGAUCUGGUUUAGCUACAGGAGGCUGCAUUUCCACUCCAGAAUGCCUAUGCAUGCUUAACUCUCACUGUGGACACAUAAGAAAAGAUAUACCAGAAUCGGAAUUGGGCAGAAAGGCAGAACUGGACAGGAAGAUGGUCAGGAAGAUUUAAUUGACAUGAAUAGUCUCUAUUCAUCACAGAAUGCAAAGACCUUCGUGCUCAAGGAAUCACCCAUACCUUGGUGUCUUUAUGACUUGCUGACUUUCAGAUGAUGGAUGACAGAAAUCGUGGCCAUUCAGGAUUAUUUGUCCAAGAUUAUUUAUUGAAUAAAAAUGGGGGAAGAAUCUGGA